ACUUACGGCCAUACCACUCUGAAAAUGCCCGAUCUCGUCUGAUCUCGGAAGCUAAGCAGAGUCGGGACUGGUUAGUACUUGGAUGGGAGANNGCCUGGGAAUACCAGGUGCUGUAAGCCU
rnacentral:rRNA from 1 species